AGAUGGGAGCUUGCUCCCUGAUGUCAGCGGCGGACGGGUGAGUAACACGUGGGUAACCUGCCUGUAAGACUGGGAUAACUCCGGGAAACCGGGGCUAAUACCGGAUGCUUGAUUGAACCGCAUGGUUCAAUUAUAAAAGGUGGCUUUUAGCUACCACUUACAGAUGGACCCGCGGCGCAUUAGCUAGUUGGUGAGGUAACGGCUCACCAAGGCAACGAUGCGUAGCCGACCUGAGAGGGUGAUCGGCCACACUGGGACUGAGACACGGCCCAGACUCCUACGGGAGGCAGCAGUAGGGAAUCUUCCGCAAUGGACGAAAGUCUGACGGAGCAACGCCGCGUGAGUGAUGAAGGUUUUCGGAUCGUAAAACUCUGUUGUUAGGGAAGAACAAGUACCGUUCGAAUAGGGCGGUACCUUGACGGUACCUAACCAGAAAGCCACGGCUAACUACGUGCCAGCAGCCGCGGUAAUACGUAGGUGGCAAGCGUUGUCCGGAAUUAUUGGGCGUAAAGCGCGCGCAGGCGGUUUUCUUAAGUCUGAUGUGAAAGCCCCCGGCUCAACCGGGGAGGGUCAUUGGAAACUGGGGAACUUGAGUGCAGAAGAGGAGAGUGAAUUCCACGUGUAGCGAUGAAAUGCGUA
rnacentral:rRNA from 1 species